CACAGCUUCCCUCUCUUUUAAACCGAAGACCACUUCAAUGGGUCUUCUCUUCCAUUCGUUGACAACUCCACCGCUAACUACAACCUUAAACAACCCUUCAAUACUUAAUAACUCUGGGUGCUGCUCUCCAUCGCCGCCCACUCAUUCUCGCUCUCGAUGGCCUUUCAUCGCCUCGACCCUCAAUCUGCCGCCGAGAAGGCCGUUUCCGUUAUUGGGUUUGGCUAUGAUUUGACCAAUGAUGUUAGAUUGUCUGCUUGCAAACCGGGUCCAUCCGGGUCGAGAUUGAUUGAGCUUGACCCGAAUCUCACCCGAAACCUUGUCGUUCCUGGUGGGGUUGUUGUUACACAUGUUUCCACUGCAAUCAAGUGUGAUAAGGGGGAGCGUACUAGGUUCCGCUCCGAUGUUCUCUCCUUUAAUCAGAUGUCGGAAAAGUUGAAUCAGGAUCUUUCUUUGUCAGGUAAAAUUCCCUCAGGACUAUUCAAUGCCAUGUUCGACUUCAGGGGUUGCUGGCAGAAGGAUGCUGCUUCUGUGAAAAGUCUGGCUUAUGAUGGUUGGUUCAUAACGCUGUAUAACAUUGAGUUGGAAAGAUCUCAUUUAACAUUGUCCGAGCAGCUGAAACAAGAAGUGCCUACUUCAUGGGAUGCUGCUGCUCUUGCUGAAUUCAUUGAGAAAUAUGGUACCCACAUUGUUGUUGGAGUAGAUAUGGGUGGUAAAGAUGUAAUUCACAUAAAGCAAUUACAGAAAUCAAAUGUUGAGCCUCCUGAAGUACAGAAAUUGUUGACACAGUUAGCUGAUGAGAGGUUUUCUGAGGAGGAAAAUGCUGCUAUACGUUCAAGAAAAUCAAAGCAAGAUGGACAUUCUGUGUCAUGGGAUCUCCAUGGAUUUGCUACCUCAGUAAGGCUUCCUGUCAUUAAUUCCUUAAAGAAUGAGGAUAUAUUGAGCAUAGCUA
rnacentral:misc_RNA from 1 species